GAUGAACGCUGGCGGCGUGCCUAAUACAUGCAAGUCGAGCGAACGGACGAGAAGCUUGCUUCUCUGAUGUUAGCGGCGGACGGGUGAGUAACACGUGGAUAACCUACCUAUAAGACUGGGAUAACUUCGGGAAACCGGAGCUAAUACCGGAUAAUAUUUUGAACCGCAUGGUUCAACAGUGAAAGACGGUCUUGCUGUCACUUAUAGAUGGAUCCGCGCUGCAUUAGCUAGUUGGUAAGGUAACGGCUUACCAAGGCAACGAUGCAUAGCCGACCUGAGAGGGUGAUCGGCCACACUGGAACUGAGACACGGUCCAGACUCCUACGGGAGGCAGCAGUAGGGAAUCUUCCGCAAUGGGCGAAAGCCUGACGGAGCAACGCCGCGUGAGUGAUGAAGGUCUUCGGAUCGUAAAACUCUGUUAUUAGGGAAGAACAUAUGUGUAAGUAACUGUGCACAUCGUGACGGUACCUAAGCAGAAAGCCACGGCUAACCACGUG
rnacentral:rRNA from 1 species